CCCCCCUGGCAAUAGGCAAGGAGGUACCUGAUUGGUGGUGUUGCUCUUAGAUCAGUCAGGAGCAAAGCAGACAUACACUCCUUAGUACAUUCUAGCUUGAUGCCUGUGUUGGUGGCCAGAACUGUUUCAUGCCUGGGGCACAUAA
rnacentral:snoRNA from 1 species